rnacentral:rRNA from 1 species
AUUGAACGCUGGCGGCAGGCCUAACACAUGCAAGUCGAGCGAGCGGCGGACGGGUGAGUAAUGUAUGGGGACUGCCCGAUAGAGGGGGAUAACUACGGGAAACGGUGGCUAAUACCGCAUACUAGCGGAUCACCCAUCUGGGAGUAGCUAUUAGGUGGGGUAAAGGCUCACCUAGGCGACGAUCUCUAGCUGGUCUGAGAGGAUGAUCAGACACACUGGGAUGGUGACACGGCCCAGACUCCUACGGAGGCAGCAGUGGGGAAUAUUGCACAAUUGGCGUAAGCCUGAUGCAGCCAUGCCGCGUGUAUGAAGAGGGCCUUAGGGUUGUAAAGUACUUUCAGCGGGGAGGCGUUGCCCGCACAAGCAGCACCGGCUAACUCCGUGCCAGCAGCCGCGGUAAUAC